CAGGACCUGUCCACAGCCUCGCGUUACAGGCUCUGCUCCUCCUAGGGCCUCACUGCAUCUGAUUUCCAGAUCCAUUCCUGGGUGGCGAGGCUUUAAGGCAGAAGGACAUGGUGCGGCAAAGCCACUUGGUUCCAGGCAGCUGGAAGCACAGCAGGGGACAGUGCCAGAGAGGAGCAGUCUCGGCUUUGCUUGGUUCAGAUCCAAAAAGGCAGGAAUCAGACGAGAUGCCAGACAUCAAUGGAUGGCCGACCUCAAGUCCGAUGCCAUACCUGUGGCAGGGAGCGUGGGACUGCGUGUU